rnacentral:rRNA from 1 species
GACGAACGCUGGCGGCGUGCUUAACACAUGCAAGUCGAACGGAAAGGCCCUGCUUUUGUGGGGUGCUCGAGUGGCGAACGGGUGAGUAACACGUGAGUAACCUGCCCUUGACUUUGGGAUAACUUCAGGAAACUGGGGCUAAUACCGGAUAGGAGCUCCUGCUGCAUGGUGGGGGUUGGAAAGUUUCGGCGGUUGGGGAUGGACUCGCGGCUGAUCAGCUUGUUGGUGGGGGAGUGGCUUACCAAGGCUUUGGCGGGUAGCCGGCCUGAGAGGGUGACCGGCCACAUUGGGACUGAGAUACGGCCCAGACUCCUACGGGAGGCAGCAGUGGGGAAUAUUGCACAAUGGGCGGAAGCCUGAUGCAGCAACGCCGCGUGCGGGAUGACGGCCUUCGGGUUGUAAACCGCUUUCGCCUGUGACGAAGCGUGAGUGACGGUAAUGGGUAAAGAAGCACCGGCUAACUACGUG